rnacentral:rRNA from 1 species
CCCGUACACGAAAGCACACAGGUUGUGAACUCGAAGAGUAGGGCGGGACACGUGGUAUCCUGUCUGAAUAUGGGGGGACCAUCCUCCAAGGCUAAAUACUCCUGACUGACCGAUAGUGAACCAGUACCGUGAGGGAAAGGCGAAAAGAACCCCGGCGAGGGGAGUGAAAAAGAACCUGAAACCGUGUACGUACAAGCAGUGGGAGCACCUUCGUGGUGUGACUGCGUACCUUUUGUAUAAUGGGUCAGCGACUUAUAUUCUGUAGCAAGGUUAACCGUAUAGGGGAGCCGAAGGGAAACCGAGUCUUAACUGGGCGUUAAGUUGCAGGGUAUAGACCCGAAACCCGGUGAUCUAGCCAUGGGCAGGUUGAAGGUUGGGUAACACUAACUGGAGGACCGAACCGACUAAUGUUGAAAAAUUAGCGGAUGACUUGUGGCUGGGGGUGAAAGGCCAAUCAAACCGGGAGAUAGCUGGUUCUCCCCGAAAGCUAUUUAGGUAGCGCCUCGUGAACUCAUCUUCGGGGGUAGAGCACUGUUUCGGCUAGGGGGCCAUCCCGGCUUACCAACCCGAUGCAAACUACGAAUACCGAAGAAUGUUAUCACGGGAGACACACGGCGGGUGCUAACGUCCGUCGUGAAGAGGGAAACAACCCAGACCGCCAGCUAAGGUCCCAAAGUCAUGGUUAAGUGGGAAACGAUGUGGGAAGGCACAGACAGCCAGGAUGUUGGCUUAGAAGCAGCCAUCAUUUAAAGAAAGCGUAAUAGCUCACUGGUCGAGUCGGCCUGCGCGGAAGAUGUAACGGGGCUAAACCAUGCACCGAAGCUGCGGCAGCGACACUAUGUGUUGUUGGGUAGGGGAGCGUUCUGUAAGCCGUUGAAGGUGU